CACGUAGGGGGCAAGCGUUGUCCGGAUUUAUUGGGCGUAAAGAGCUCGUAGGCGGCUCGGUAAGUCGGGUGUGAAACCUCCAGGCUCAACCUGGAGACGCCACUCGAUACUGCCGUGGCUAGAGUCCGGUAGAGGAGCGUAGAAUUCCUGGUGUAGCGGUGAAAUGCGCAGAUAUCAGGAGGAACACCGGUGGCGAAGGCGGGUCUCUGGGCCGAUACUGACGCUGAGGAGCGAAAGCGUGGGGAGCGAACAGG
rnacentral:rRNA from 1 species